rfam:Oryza sativa Japonica Group DNA, chromosome 5, cultivar: Nipponbare, complete sequence.
AAAAAGUCAAACCUGGUUUCCUACCAACGUUUGACUGUCCGUCUUAUAUAAUUUUUUUUUAUAAUUAGUAUUUUCAUUGUUGUUAGAUGAUAAAAUAUGAUUAAUGCUUUAUACGUGACUUAUCUUUUUAAUUUUUUCAUAAUUUUUUUAAAUAAGACGGACGGUCAAACGUUAGACACGAAAACUAGGGUUCGUCUUUUU